rnacentral:rRNA from 1 species
GCGGCGGACGGGUGAGUAACACGUGGAUAACCUACCUAUAAGACUGGGAUAACUUCGGGAAACCGGAGCUAAUACCGGAUGAUAUUUUGAACCGCAUGGUUCAAAAGUGAAAGACGGUCUUGCUGUCACUUAUAGAUGGAUCCGCGCUGCAUUAGCUAGUGGGUAAGGUAACGGCUUACCAAGGCAACGAUGCAUAGCCGACCUGAGAGGGUGAUCGGCCACACUGGAACUGAGACACGGUCCAGACUCCUACGGGAGGCAGCAGUAGGGAAUCUUCCGCAAUGGGCGAAAGCCUGACGGAGCAACGCCGCGUGAGUGAUGAAGGUCUUCGGAUCGUAAAACUCUGUUAUUAGGGAAGAACAUAUGUGUAAGUAACUGUGCACAUCUUGACGGUACCUAAUCAGAAAGCCACGGCUAACUACGUGCCAGCAGCCGCGGUAAUACGUAGGUGGCAAGCGUUAUCCGGAAUUAUUGGGCGUAAAGCGCGCGUAGGCGGUUUUUUAAGUCUGAUGUGAAAGCCCACGGCUCAACCGUGGAGGGUCAUUGGAAACUGGAAAACUUGAGUGCAGAAGAGGAAAGUGGAAUUCCAUGUGUAGCGGUGAAAUGCGCAGAGAUAUGGAGGAACACCAGUGGCGAAGGCGACUUUCUGGUCUGUAACUGACGCUGAUGUGCGAAAGCGUGGGGAUCAAACAGGAUUAGAUACCCUGGUAGUCCACGCCGUAAACGAUGAGUGCUAAGUGUUAGGGGGUUUCCGCCCCUUAGUGCUGCAGCUAACGCAUUAAGCACUCCGCCUGGGGAGUACGACCGCAAGGUUGAAACUCAAAGGAAUUGACGGGGACCCGCACAAGCGGUGGAGCAUGUGGUUUAAUUCGAAGCAACGCGAAGAACCUUACCAAAUCUUGACAUCCUUUGACAACUCUAGAGAUAGAGCCUUCCCCUUCGGGGGACAAAGUGACAGGUGGUGCAUGGUUGUCGUCAGCUCGUGUCGUGAGAUGUUGGGUUAAGUCCCGCAACGAGCGCAACCCUUAAGCUUAGUUGCCAUCAUUAAGUUGGGCACUCUAAGUUGACUGCCGGUGACAAACCGGAGGAAGGUGGGGAUGACGUCAAAUCAUCAUGCCCCUUAUGAUUUGGGCUACACACGUGCUACAAUGGACAAUACAAAGGGCAGCGAAACCGCGAGGUCAAGCAAAUCCCAUAAAGUUGUUCUCAGUUCGGAUUGUAGUCUGCAACUCGACUACAUGAAGCUGGAAUCGCUAGUAAUCGUAGAUCAGCAUGCUACGGUGAAUACGUUCCCGGGUCUUGUACACACCGCCCGUCACACCACGAGAGUUUGUAACACCCGAAGCCGGUGGAGUAACCUUUUAGGAGCUAGCCGUCGAAGGUGGGACAAAUGAUUGGGGUGAAGUCGUAACAAGGUAGCCGUAUCGGAAGGUGCGGCUG